AAUAAUAGUCGAUAAAACAUACGGACGUUCCGGUCGGAUGUUACAGUGUGAACGAGUCCGGUGUCUAGCAUCUGGAAAUUUCCACCAGGUGCCGUUCGACGUCACAACUAUGAGGCAAAAUAAUCGAGUCGGUCGAUUCAUGGAGUUUGAAAAGUAAUCGGUUACACUCGAUUAGUCGGGAAAACAAAAUUCCAUUUAAUUGAAAAUCGAUUCAGUGCUCAUGAUGGCACGACCGUCUUUCUACUUAUGAACCGGCACCUCCACCCUGACAUAACCUAAGUGAUUAGUAGUUGCGAAUUUGGUUACGAAUACCGAGACUUACCGUUCGGCUACCUCGCCUAAACAUGACGGUUCCCAAUUCUAAGAACUCAUUUCUUACCUCGCUCGUAUCUGGCGGUGCUGCAGGAACAUUUGUAGAUGUUGCGUUAUUCCCGCUAGAUACUUUAAAAACUCGGCUGCAGAGUCAGAGGGGAUUCCUGCAGUCAGGUGGUUUUACGGGAUUGUAUCAUGGAAUCAAACCAGUUAUACUUGGCUCAGCACCAACCGCUGCAUUGUUUUUUGUGACUUAUGACAGUGUCAAAAUAUUCCUAAAACCAAAAGUUGAUGAGAGGCAUCACUUUCUCAUUUACAUGGGAGGUGCCACUUUCAGUGAAAUGGUAGCCUGUUUAAUAAGAGUACCAGUUGAAGUAGUGAAACAAAGGAAUCAAGCUCUGCUAUAUGGCAAAGAACGUCUUGGUAUAAAGUUACUGUAUCGUGGCUACUGGAGUACAGUUUUGAGGGAUACUCCAUUUAGCCUGUUACAAUUUCCACUGUGGGAAUACUUCAAACACAGUUGGAGCCACAAAGUCGAUAGGGAAUUAAAACCAUGGGAGGGAGCCGUAUGUGGUGCGGUUGCAGGUGGCAUCUCAGCAGCAGUAACUACACCACUGGAUGUAGCAAAAACUAGAAUAAUGCUUUCCAGUGUAACAGUUGGUAGUUCUGAGUUGAAAAUUUUCUUUGUCCUUAGGGCAUUGUACAGAGAAAAAGGAGUGCAAGGGCUAUUCGCUGGUAUUUCGCCACGUGUCGUUUGGAUAACUGCUGGCGGUUUCAUAUUCUUUGGCAUUUAUGAGGAGACAAAAGUUAUAAUGGGAAAAUUAUUUUCAACGAAAACCAGAGUACCUAAUCUAUAAUUGAACUUGUAAACAUGGUUGAUGGUAAAAAUUAUGCGGUGACAUUGAAGCACCUCGGUACAUUUCUUGGGAAUGCAUAGAAUCACGUCGCUGAAACAUCCAUGCCUUUGUCCAUACAAUUUUGUUGAACAUCCAUGCUACUCUCAGUAAAUCAGGAUUGACCCAAUUGUGAAAUUCAAAUAUCGCUGCGUCAAACUAGAUGUUGGGUUGAGGCGGCAAUGUAGACCAGCCAGGUAAGAGAAGCAAUUCACUUUGACCAGAGACGCUCUGGUGUUGAUUACAUUAUAUAUUCCUCAUAGAAUUGGAUACAAAUUUUCCAUUUACUCAUUUAUUACUAUUGAAUUGAACUUAAGUUGAUCGUCGACAUAACCAAAUUUAAAUAUGAAUUUUAAAUACAAUUGGAAAUGAUCUACUGUUCAUCGAACCCUCUGGAAAUGUUUAUCACAUAUAAACACAGAUCGUCGUGACCUGUGGACAUUGCUCAUCAACGAAUGACAUCGACGGUAACAAAUUGUAGAUAGAUUAUGCUAUUGUCUGUUAAUCUUCGUUGCCACUUUAGUUAAGUUCAGUGCAUAAUAAUAUAAGAUUUGUUUAAUGGUAUGCUUAUUAUUUUUUCUUCGAAAACUCUAUUAAACUUAGUUUCACCCAUUUAGUUAAAUUAGAGUCCUCGAAGAAAUAGAAUUUGAAUUUCAUAGAACUAAAGCCAAUUAAUAAAAUCAACCGUACUAGGCCAAUUGGUGCAUUUUAUAUGAAUGAUUGUAUGACGAAUGAAUAUGAUAUAAUGAUUUAUGCCAGCUCAUGAAAAUCUUUAUAUAUAUAUAUAUAUAUAUAUUAUAUUAUAUAUAUUGCAAGUUGAAUAGUCUGUUAAGUUGUGCAGCAUUCUUUUGAUAAAUAAUUGAUGCAAUUUGUUUAAUGUGUUUACCCGUCAUCAUUGUGAAAUAAAUAAUUCAUCAGAUGACAAUUAAAUUGUUACAGUCAGUGUAGGCUGUCAAAAACAAAUCACACUGCAUAUGUAAAAAACAAACACAACAUAAUGCUUUAUUGAUUGUAAAUAUAUAAAUUGACUCCGGUUGAUGUGUAAAAAAAUAUAUCAUGUAUACAUAUUUCUAUAGGAUAUGAUUUAAAAUAUUUUUAAUUAAAUCCUUGCUUAUUUGUUUAUAUAAAAACUUUUUAGUUUUACUUUCUUUAUCUAAUUAUAGAUUAUAUUCUUUACUUUCGAAUUUUUUUAUUAUUUUAUUAUUUUUUACUUUUCGAAUUCAUUUUUAUUUGUAUGAAUCAUGAUUUAUCCUCUCAUUACUUGACUUUACUUGGAAAUAAAUUGUGAGAUCACGCGCACAAAUUACAGGUGAU
rnacentral:misc_RNA from 1 species